rnacentral:piRNA from 1 species
UUCAAGUCAAAGGCCAUUUUUAUAAGAC